rnacentral:tRNA from 1 species
GCUUCAGUAGCUCAGUGGUAGAGCAACCGGCUGUUAACCGGUUGGCCGCAGGUUCAAAUCCUGCCUGAAGCG